UACGGAGGAUGCAAGCGUUGUUCGGAAUCACUGGGCUUAAAGAGCGUGUAGGUGGGGUGUCAGGCGUCGGGUGAAAUCCCUCGGCUCAACCGAGGAACUGCCUGGCGAACCGACAUUCUUGAGGCAGGUAGAGGUGGCUGGAACGACGGGUGGAGCGGUGAAAUGCGUAGAGAUCCGGAAGAACACCGGUGGCGAAGGCGGCCUGCUGGGACGUGGCUGACGCUGAGGCGCGACAGCGUGGGGAGCAAACGGG
rnacentral:rRNA from 1 species